UCAAGCCUUGGAUGCUUCUAGACCUGAGAAAUUUUUUCUCUACCCAUUACCUUAAAACAGAGCUUCUGUGUGCAGGUUUGGGCCCCUGGUGUAUAGAAGGAGUCUAGAGGAGAAUGAAGCUGGAGUGUAUUUAAGAUUCCAACACCCCUGCUGUGCUAAGUCUCAGGUCAGGUAGUCUGUGGAUAGUCAUCUUGCAUCCAUUUGCUCAGUAAUUGGCAAAUACUAAAAUAACUCCACCAGAUUUGGCUGGGAGCAUGGCAUACAGAUUUAACAUGUAAAGGGAAGAGAAGUCAGUGUAAUUCCAUGGAUCCAAGUGGCACUUCUAGAGUUGCUUAGGAAACUGCCAGGGAAAUCUGAGCAUGCCCCAGGGAAUCAUGGGAAAGACAAUACACAGGAGAAAGAGAGGACUCUGAGGAGUCAACCCCUCAGGUACUGCCCAGCAUGCCAGAGAGUGGCUCUGAGCAUUGUGGUCUCAAACACAUAAUGACUCCUGGGCUCCCCUCUUUUUGAGACACAACAUAGCCUCCUGCAGGAAACAAGCUAAACUCAGUCUUUGCUCCAUUCAUCAAGGUCCAGUUGGACAUGAGAUAGAUAUUAUGGGAGCCUCCUCUAGGUUCAAGUAUGUCCUUAACCCUCACUCUUUUUCUCAAACUGAGCCCUGUGAUAGUUUGGGUAGACUUCCUUUCUCAUCUAUAGCCCAGCCUCUGGAAUGUGGUUACCCAAAGGCAGGCAACAGCCUUUCCACUCUUAAGAGCAUCCUAAGUCAGUAUGUGCCUGUCUCAACUUUGAAAUGUAUAAUGCUGUAAAAGGCAAGUCCAUUUUCUUACAGGUUUUCGCUAAGCCUUUCCCCGAGGAAAAGGAAGAUGUGACAAAGUUUGCCUCACCCUCCCCAUCCUUGGCUGGGUUUAGGUUUCUCACUCCAAAAGCUGCAUCUGUUGUUCCUGGCUAAAUAUCAAAAGAUAUGAACCUGACCUAGUCCCAGCUUUCUCCCCUGCCCACAUGGGUCUUUCCGCUUUACUCAACUCCCAGGCAUCAUCUACUUCUUUCUCUCUGUACCUUUCUUUGUGGUAACUGGCAGGACACAGCAGGAGUGUUCUAGAGCCAAAGGUCAUGAGUGCUAUUAAUGAUGGCUCCAGAGAGCAGCAGACAGACUGUCUCUGCAGGAGAUUCCCCUUCUUCAGGCCAGCACCUGUGUCAAGGGCUAAGAAUAGGAGCAGGAGCAGGCAAGGACCUAGAGACACUUGCCCUGGGAUGCCCCUGCUGCAUGGAGAAAAUGUGUAUGUCCAGGUAGGAGAUGCUGCCCUGGCUGGUCUCCAGCAAGAAUCCCUAGCCCCCUCCUCAAACUAAAGUCAGUCAGCAAUCUCUGUUCCUGCCUUCAGGGAGGAUGGCUUCUAGAACAUCACCCUCAAAUCAAGGAGGGAAGAUAGAUAUGACUUCCCUCUUGGUGACUGGGAAAGCACCUAUCUCUCUGUAACCUUUGGCCAUUUGUCACUAUGGAUACAGAUGAGCAGUUGGACAUCUGACUCUAAUCCAUCCUCAAUGUAGACCUGGGGUCCUCAGGCUUGGAGGCCUGUUUUACCUUCACACUUCCUAGGUGCUCUGCCUAAAGCCAGAAAGACCAGGAAGGGCCACAGGCUGAUGCAGGGCUCCACUGUGAUUAUGAAUAACUCACCUCUUGGUGCCUUGGUUUCUCCAUCAGUAAAGUGGGCAGAUCACGGCUGCUUUCCAUCCUGCUCAGAGGUGCUCCAGUGAUUCAGUCCGUUGCCUGUACUGAAGGAGUCUCAUAGGAAUAAGGGUGACCCUGUUUCUCGGGAACUAGAAGUAUGGAAAAGGAGGAGAUUGCAGAUACACUUGACACCCAGGAGCCCAGGGAGUGAGCAGGGAGGACAUGUCGACGGAGAUAGAGCCUUGGAUGCUCACAUGUGCCACAGCACCGUUAACUCAGUAUAGUAGCAUCCGACCAGGGACAUCUGGCCACCUGGCACCUGCUGGGCAUCUGUCACUUCUUAAGUCCCUUGAUGUUAGUUUUUCCUGAAUGACCAGAUAAAAUACAGGGGAAUGUGCUUCUGGAAAUGGCUAGUCACAGCAUGUCUGACAGACAUCAGAUGGGAUUGGCAAAGUGACUCUGGGAUGGUGUGGGAGGUGGCCAGAGCUCUUGGGAAGGGUCUCUUGCCUUUGCUCAAAUCCUCGAGGCUUCUCUUCUCAAAUGGACUCAUCAUCCCCAGGACUCACGCAGAGUACAGAGAGCCCCGCAUGUACUUUUUCAACACCUAUAUUGUCAGCUACAGAUGCUCAUGCCCGUCACGGGUCCUUCACCACUCCCUGGUGUGCUCUGCGCAGAGCCUGCAGGCAAAGCUUCAGAGAUAUGUGGGACCAGGGAGUGACAUGCAAUUGGUUUUCCUUUCUUUUCCUUUCUUUUCCUUUCUUUUCUUUUCUUUUCUUUUCUUUUCUUUUCUUUUCUUUUCCUUUCUUUCCUUUCCUUUUCUCUUCUCUUCUUUUCUUUCUAUUUUACCAAAUUGGGUUAUUUUCCUCCUCACAAUUUGAAUUGAAAAACUUAAGUUCAAUUUCUUUUCCUCUCCCUGACCCCCACCUCCCUUUUAAACUAUGGUUUGACUGUUAUCAUUUCAAAUACCAAGAUACACUUGGAACAAGAAAACAGACCAAUCCUAAGAAUGUCACUCUUCUUGGGACCUAACCCAGAGUGAGAGCAGGUGGGAGCAUGGAGGACAUUAGCACUCAGGGGUGCAGCCAUGAUACCAAUUCUAAACUUGUUCUGUGAACCUUCUUGCAAAAAGAGAAGUAUGGAAGUCCAAGUGCCCGUGGAUCAGUCAACCUAGUCCUGGGCUAGAUCUAUUCUGGUAUAGAAAUUCUCACCAAAAGUU
rnacentral:lncRNA from 1 species